GUUCCAGCUUCAGGAUAGAAUUAGGGGAAAAGAUGGUGACCACCGCACCCUCCAGUGAUCUCUGAUGAUAUGCGGGGAUAAUGGGUUACAAAGACAGACAUUAAUAAGAUGUUAGUUGUCCCUCUUUGGGUACUUCUCCUGCUGGCAAGCCUCUUCAAGUAGCUUCCUGUGGAGGCAAAGGGAGUACAGGAAGCUUCGGCAUCCAACCUGGGCUCUACACCCACCAGGUACUGUUAGGGAUUGCUGGAGUCAACUUGCCAAUAUAAAGGAGGGCUGUAUCUACUCGGCAGAGCAAGACUGGUGGAAAGCGACAAAGCAUCCAGCUCUCAGGAACUGGCCAACUCUAGACUUCUUAAUACAUCAGCUCUUCACCUCAGGUAUCCAUUCACACAUUUACGGAGGGCCUACUGUGUGCCAAGAAUGAGGGGUGCACUCCUGGCCAUUGAAGAGUAAAUAAUGCAAGAGAGGAGAAAGACUGGGGAGCAUCCAGGGAAGGAUCGAGAGUGUGGCCUUUUCAACAGCCCGUGGAUGGCAUGACUUCAAAAACAAAGACGAUCGAGCUUCGGGGGAGAAGAUUGCAGGCAAAAUUUGAUGAGUCACAUCUCCAUCAAGUUUGUUCCAAUAUUGUCCUUAGGCUACGACUGUCCAACGAGGGGAUUAUUCUUCAAUUUAUAGCCAUAAACACAGGGUCAUUUCAUGAUGUAUACACUGCAUUUUUUGCUUUAUCUAAAAAGACAUUUGUAGAAGAGGUAUUGUAGUUUCCACAAUCACAGGACAACCCCAUUCUGGGUGCAUGUGUACACACACACACACACACACACACACACACACACUACACACAGGAGCAUUCUGGAUUAUAUCUUAUAUUCUUUGGUUCCUGAGUAAGCAUCCUUCAUCACCAUCAUAGUCAUCAUCAUCACUGUUUUUCCAUCUAAAAACUAAGCAAAAAAACCUAAAACUAAAAUAAAACACUCCUAUGAGUUGCAUACUUGGACAUUGCUUAUAAGGCACAUUAAAGAGAAAAGGGGAUUGAAAUGCAAUGUGAAGCUUUUAUAUAUGUAGACAUCUUAUUUAUCGCAUAGUUUGUAAGGGGGAUAAGGAGCUGAACCAUGGAAUCAUUCUACUCACCUCUGGGUUUUUUCCACACUAGAACAUACUGACAUGAUUUGAAAUAGUUCAACUUUAACCUAUAGGCAAUAGCACGAAGACAAGCACCUAUAAAUCAAUGAUUAAAAUAGGUACACUUCGGCAUGUUCUAGUUUGGCUGAUUAGUCUUGCCUAUAAUAUCACAUCACCCCUGGUUUGGUUAUCCUCAGAAAAUACAUACAUAAAGGUGUAGAUGACUCAUGAAGGUCAUUUACAAAAUUGUUUUCACAGCUUUGUAGUCAGAACUAAGCCAUUUCCUAAAAUGUAAGUGAGCAGCCUGCAUUUCACAAUGCCUAGCUGUAGGUAUUAAGUCUAUAUAAAGAUAAAUGAUGGAUUUGUGACCAAGAGUACUUUCUAAUUAUAAAAAGUUCAAAUAAAAAAUAAUGGAAUGUGCCUAAUUUCUUUAUCAGCAACAAAGAAGUCAGAGACAACCAAAAUGACUGACUAUUAAUGCCUUAUCAUGGGAAUAAGUUUGCCAAUCUCAAGUGCUGCAGAGAGAACAUAAGGGAAUCGGCUGUAGAUGGGAGGAAUGUGCAACCAUUUUGAAGAACCAAUUUGGAACAUUCUAGAGAAAGCUGAAGAUUAACUUAUAAUUACAGUUUAUAAUUUUUUAAAAAAAUCACUCACUCUUUGACAUAUGACCUAGAAUGAAAUUUGCAUAACCAAGGAUACAUGUGUAAGUAUUUUUAUCAUUGUAUCUAAUAGCCCAAAUUGGAAAGAAUCUAGUCAUGUGUUUUUAUAAAGGAUUACCAAACAAUGGUGAGAGCAAAUAAACCAUAGUUACAUGUUAUCUACACUGGUGCAUUUUAUAGGCCUAAAGCUGCUUUUAAAAUGUAAAUUAUAGAGAGGGGUGCAUUGGCACAGACCUGUAAUCCCAGUGGCU